rnacentral:snoRNA from 1 species
AUGCACAUGUCAUUGACCUGCUGCUAUUCCACUUGUGAGCAGUGUUAUUUCUGAUGUGCUAAACAAACCGUUGAAGGUUAAUUAGCAGUGUUGCUGCAUAUAGUUACUGCUGCCAGUCUCCUUCAGACAAAG